CAACCUCAACUCAUAUGGGACUACCCCCUGAAUUUAAGCAUAUUAAUUAGGGGAGGAAAAGAAACUAACAAGGAUUUUCUUAGUAGCGGCGAGCGAAAAGAAAACAGUUCAGCACUAAGUCACUUUGUCUAUAUGGCAAAUGUGAGAUGCAGUGUAUGGAGCGUCAAUAUUCUAGUAUGAGAAAUUAAUGAUUUAAGUCCUUCUUAAAUGAGGCCAUUUACCCAUAGAGGGUGCCAGGCCCGUAUAACGUUAAUGAUUGCUAGAUGAUGUUUCCAAAGAGUCGUGUUGCUUGAUAGUGCAGCACUAAGUGGGUGGUAAACUCCAUCUAAAACUAAAUAUAACCAUGAGACCGAUAGUAAACAAGUACCGUGAGGGAAAGUUGAAAAGAACUCUGAAUAGAGAGUUAAACAGUACGUGAAACUGCUUAGAGGUUAAGCCCGAUGAACCUGAAUAUCCGUUAUGGAAAAUUCAUCAUUAAAAUUGUAAUAUUUAAAUAAUAUUAUUAAGAAUAAUGUGCAUUUUUUCCAUAUAAGGACAUUGUAAUCUAUUAGCAUAUCCCAAAUUUAUCAUAAAAUAUAACUUAUAGUUUAUUCCAAUUAAAUUGCUUGCAUUUUAACACAGAAUAAAUGUUAUUAAUUUGAUAAAGUGCUGAUAGAUUUAUAUUAUUACAGAGCGUUAAUUUUUCGGAAUUAUAUAAUGGCAUAAUUAUCAUUGAUUUUUGUGUUUAUUAUAUGCUCUUGUAUGAUUAACAAUGCGAAAGAUUCAGGAUACCUUCGGGACCCGUCUUGAAACACGGACCAAGGAGUCUAACAUAUGUGCAAGUUAUUGGGAUGUAAACCUAAUAGCGUAAUUAACUUGACUAAUAAUGGGAUUAGUUUUUUAGCUAUUUAUAGCUAAUUAACACAAUCCCGGGGCGUUCUAUAUAGUUAUGUAUAAUGUAUAUUUAUAUUAUUUAUGCCUCUAACUGGAACGUACCUUGAGCAUAUAUGCUGUGACCCGAAAGAUGGUGAACUAUACUUGAUCAGGUUGAAGUCAGGGGAAACCCUGAUGGAAGACCGAAACAGUUCUGACGUGCAAAUCGAUUGUCAGAAUUGAGUAUAGGGGCGAAAGACCAAUCGAACCAUCUAGUAGCUGGUUCCUUCCGAAGUUUCCCUCAGGAUAGCUGGUGCAUUUUAAUAUUAUAUAAAAUAAUCUUAUCUGGUAAAGCGAAUGAACUUUAAAUGGGUAAGAACCUUAACUUUCUUGAUAUGAAGUUCAAGGUUAUGAUAUAAUGUGCCCAGUGGGCCACUUUUGGUAAGCAGAACUGGCGCUGUGGGAUGAACCAAACGUAAUGUUACGGUGCCCAAAUUAACAACUCAUGCAGAUACCAUGAAAGGCGUUGGUUGCUUAAAACAGCAGGACGGUGAUCAUGGAAGUCGAAAUCCGCUAAGGAGUGUGUAACAACUCACCUGCCGAAGCAACUAGCCCUUAAAAUGGAUGGCGCUUAAGUUGUAUACCUAUACAUUACCGCUAAAGUAGAUGAUUUAUAUUACUUGUGAUAUAAAUUUUGAAACUUUAGUGAGUAGGAAGGUACAAUGGUAUGCGUAGAAGUGUUUGGCGUAAGCCUGCAUGGAGCUGCCAUUGGUACAGAUCUUGGUGGUAGUAGCAAAUAAUCGAAUGAGACCUUGGAGGACUGAAGUGGAGAAGGGUUUCGUGUGAACAGUGGUUGAUCACGAGUAGUCGGUCCUAAGUUCAAGGCGAAAGCCGAAAAUUUCAG
rfam:Drosophila sechellia strain Rob3c scaffold_6680 genomic scaffold, whole genome shotgun sequence.